rnacentral:rRNA from 1 species
AGCGUAGGCGGCGUGGUAAGUCAGAUGUGAAAUCCCGGGGCUCAACCCCGGAACUGCAUCCGAUACUGCCAUGCUAGAGGAUUGGAGAGGUAGCUGGAAUUCUUGGUGUAGCAGUGAAAUGCGUAGAGAUCAAGAGGAACACUCGUGGCGAAAGCGAGCUACUGGACAAUUCCUGAUGCUGAGGCUCGAAGGCUAGGGUAAGCGAAAG